rnacentral:lncRNA from 1 species
CUAAGGCCAAAAAUCACCAAGUUUUCUUCCAUCUUUUCUUCAAAAACCGAAACUACACCCUAAGGUGAGCUUCAUACCCCCUAUUUUUCUGUUUUAUAAGUUUUGUGGGGGGGGGAUACAAGUGAAAGUGUAGAUCUAUAUGUGUUUUGUAUGCCUUGUAUGAUUUCUAUGCUUAUAUGUGUGUUUUUGUGUGUUUAUAAUGUUGGAUCUAGCCAUAAACCCCUAAAAAUCGAGACAUACUUUAUGUUAAAUGAUACUAUCAUCAAAUAUAUUUCUACAUACAAAGUGUUCCAAGAAAAAUAGCUAAAUGGCUUAAUAACAUUUUCCUUGGGCUAAAAACUCAAUUUUUGGACAUAAAAUGGUAAAAAUAUAAAGUUAAAGGACCCAAAAUGUAAUAUUUCGAAUUCUGAUGGGUGAGAUGAGUCAAAACAGUUUCCAUAAUGUAUUUUCUGAAAAUAUAUUUUUUUUGGAAGGUUAAAAACAUAAAUUAAAGCUUAAUGGGCUAAAAAUGACAUUUUCGGCCCAAUAGGGCCCAAUAUGCGAAACUUUCUGUUUUGAAGGGCCAAAACUGUGUUUUUCUGUAAAACAGUGGACUACAAGUGUUCCAAGUCCUUUUCUAAGGUUUAAAAUGCUUUUCAAAUUUAAAAAGGACCAAAGUUGCAAAAUUUUUCCAAAUUGGGCCAAAAAUGUAAAAACUGCGAAAAAGAGGGGUUACAACCGAGAAAACUGUAUUUUCAGGGACUAAAACUGUUUUUAACUAAAAAUGUGCUGAAAAAUAUCAAUUCCAAUAAGUUUUGAUGUUAAAAUGCCAAGAAAAAUAGUUUAAGGACUAAACCGGAAAUUUAUUUAUGCAAAGGGUUGAAAAAGUAAAUUUACAAAAUAAAGAGGGGCUGAAAACAGAAAAUUUUCAAGGCUAAUUCAAUACACCCAUCGUGAUCAAAUAUUGGCACCGCGACUACCGACGAAAUACAAUACACAACAAUACCAAAAAUCGUUGUUAAACGAAUUGAUUCGGUCUCGAAUCAAUAACAACCCGAAACUACUAACACGACGAUAACUCGAUUCACACAAGUAACAUUUGGGAAUUCAAUACACACGUGAGAGUGCACAGACNGAAUCAAUAACAACCCGAAACUACUAAUACGACGAUACCUCGAUUCACACAAGUAACAUUUGGGAAUUUAAUACACACGUGAGAGUGCACAGACGUCUACGCACCAUCUUUGGGCCCAAAAGUGUAAAAUCUUGUUAGUUGGGCCUAGCUAGCCCGAUGACCUGAUCUUUAGGCCCGAAGACUUCAACCUUACGAGUUGUUGAGUCUUACAUGACCCAACACAAUGUAAAAGGACUUUCAAUGGCCUUUAUACUAUUGGUCCCCAAGGGUCCUUUGGUACGGCUAGUAAAAUCGGUUAUUCAAAUGCGAAUCGGGUCAAGGACCCUUCGUACUCUUUUUUUAUCCCCAAGCGGCUAACAGAGUUACCGAGGUCUUCGUGCCCUCUUUCUCUUCGGAUGUGGGACUACAAGAAGUCAGGGCGGUUGGAUUACAUGAAUAAUACGGACGACGGCUACGGGAUCGUUAGUAUAAGUUGUGAACUGGCCAUUUGUGUAUCGCGUGUUUAUAACAAUUCACUACGCGCAAUAAUCCGACGUCGUCUGGAAUCAAUGACUUCACACUACGCGAUGGUUCUACAACUACAUGGAAUUCAAAGUAUUAGGAAAACAUCGGGUUUUCCUAGGGUUAUACAAUACACACAGUUUCGAAAAGUACACUAACAUAAUGAACAUUUUUAUUACAACUAUAGAAACAAACAAGCAUACUUAUGGAUCUUCACAAACUUUUUCAGAAAC